UUCGCCCCGAGACAGGAAACAGGUUCUCAACUCAAACGCCAGGCGACAUUGGGACAGGUGGAGCCCUUCUCAGGGACAAAACCUGUUCCUCGUCUCAGGAGAGACGGACAACUUGCGACAUCCAAAGCUCGGCCUUUGUCGCAAGCCUUCGCCAUGGUCAUGGAUUCAAACUUGUAAUGUUGCCAAAGCACCAUCGCUGUGAUGGGGCUUUGUCUCCCAUCUGCGUGAAAUAAACCCUUGAAUCCUCACGUCGGCGCAGCCCAUUCAUCCUCCGCACCUCGAUCGCCUAUUGCUAGGAUUCCCACUCGAAGGGUUUCUGCACUCGGUCAAGACGACGUCAGAACAAUCUCCGGUGUAAAAGGGACUCCUUCUACAAGCGAAACGAAAGUGCUACUAAGGCUGCUGUGAUGCAGUGGGCAAUGGAAGAUGAACACCAUCUGUAAAUUGAACAAUCCUGUGUGUCAAGGAAGAGCUUUGAUAUAACAGUAUGAUUGUUCUUUUGCACCAGAGAAACAUCUCUUCUCGCAGAGGUGUCUGCAGGGAAGCUCCUUCCUGCUUGGACCGAUGCUCGAUCACCACUUUGUCAUUAAUGGGGAAAGAGAUGUUUGUUUGAUGAAGUCAAUGCUGGGAUCGAGAAGAAACCGAGUUACACAUGGAUUUGAUUGAUGGGUAGGCAAAUCUUGUUUGGUGAAAGUGAGUUGGAGAUGAUAACCUAAACUUCUCUUUUCUUGUAAUCCAAAGCAUAUCGCUGAUCUGAGCCAGCCGCACGCCUGUUCAUGCAGUUUAUCUGGAAAGUCAGCUGUUGCUGUCAUUCUAUAAAUAUGUGUAGGUGAAGGAACUCAAACCUUCAUGAGCAAGCCAAAGACCUGCAAACUGAUGUCAAGAGGUGAAAUUUUUGUAAAGACUAUGCUACAUUUGGCUCCUUAUCAUCUCUUUUUGUGUUGGUGAGAUCUCCAACUUUGAAAGAGUUGAUUGGUAUUCGAUUGAUAGGAGCUUUGGUUGCUAAA